ACGGGUGAGUAACGCGUGGGAAUCUACCCAUCACUACGGAACAACUCCGGGAAACUGGAGCUAAUACCGUAUACGUCCUUCGGGAGAAAGAUUUAUCGGUGAUGGAUGAGCCCGCGUUGGAUUAGCUAGUUGGUGGGGUAAUGGCCUACCAAGGCGACGAUCCAUAGCUGGUCUGAGAGGAUGAUCAGCCACACUGGGACUGAGACACGGCCCACACUCCUACGGGAGGCAGCAGUGGGGAAUAUUGGACAAUGGGCGAAAGCCUGAUCCAGCCUUGCCGCGUGAGUGAUGAAGGCCCUAGGGUUGUAAAGCUCUUUCGCAGGUGAAGAUAAUGACGGUAACCUGAGAAGAAGCCCCGGCUAACUUCGUGCCACCUGCCGCGGAAAUACGAAGGGGGCUAGCGUUGUUCGGAAUUACUGGGCGUAAAGCGCACGUAGGCGGACAUUUAAGUCAGGGGUGAAAUCCCGGGGCUCAACCCCGGAACUGCCUUUGAUACUGGGUGUCUCGAGUCCGGAAGAGGUGAGUGGAAUUCCGAGUGUAGAGGUGAAAUUCGUAUAUAUUCGGAGGAACACCAGUGUGCGAAGGCGGCUCACUGGUCCGGUACUGACGCUGAGAUGCGAAUGCGUGGGGAGCAAACAGGAUUAGAUACCCUGGUAGUCCACGACGUAUACGAUGGAAGCUAGUCGUCGGCCAGUUUACCUGUCGUUGGCGCUGCUAACGCAUUUAGCUUUCCCGCCUGGGGAGUACGGUCUCACGAUUUAAACUCAAAGGCAUUUGACGGGCGCCCGCACGAGCAGAUGUUAGCAUGUGGUUUUCAGUGCGACGCACGCGCAGAACUUACUGGCCUAU
rnacentral:rRNA from 1 species